AUAGAUAAUCAGAAAGUUUGCACAGACUUGUUCGGAACCUUUACAUACACAGUUGUGUCUAGCGUCGCUGGUGGAUAAUAUGAAAUUAGUACUACUUCUUGUGUGUAUUCUUGGAACUGUGUUACUUACUGAGUCAGCAGUCGUGAGAGCAGCAUGUCCUAUGUUUUGCACUGCCGAUUAUUCUCCUGUCUGUGGAUCAGAUGGUGUAACUUAUAGCAACAAAUGCGGACUCUUAAUUGCUGCAUGCUUGAAAAAGGCAGAGGGUGUUAUAAUCCAUGAGAUGCAUAAGGGGCAAUGCUGAUAAAGUUUUGAAAUAAA